GUGUGACUUCUCACUACGCACCCAACCUCAUAACACAAUCUGGAGUCAAAGCAAAGAAAUAUGAGUCUUUAUCUUCUAUAUUGUGUAUUGAGAAGCAUGAAGAAGAGAUCAGUGUCUUGAGGCUAUUUGGGCAAGAAAUUUUUUCAUCACAGAAUGUUUCACAGGAUCAAAGUUCCAGUGUCUAUUCCUUCGUUCAAGAAAUACCUGUUGAAGACCAGUUUGUGGGCAGCACGGGGCUGGAUCCUGAAUAAUCAUGGUCUUGUGGCAUGGAAGUUGCUAUCCAGCAGAGAAUUCAUAUGUUGAACCACAUGCCUUUGUUAUGAGAAAGAGG
rnacentral:lncRNA from 1 species